rnacentral:rRNA from 1 species
UGGGGAAUUUUGGACAAUGGGCGAAAGCCUGAUCCAGCAAUGCCGCGUGUGUGAAGAAGGCCUUCGGGUUGUAAAGCACUUUUGUCCGGAAAGAAAUCCUUGGCCCUAAUACAGUCGGGGGAUGACGGUACCGGAAGAAUAAGCACCGGCUAACUACGUGCCAGCAGCCGCGGUAAUACGUAGGGUGCAAGCGUUAAUCGGAAUUACUGGGCGUAAAGCGUGCGCAGGCGGUUUGCUAAGACCGAUGUGAAAUCCCCGGGCUCAACCUGGGAACUGCAUUGGUGACUGGCAGGCUAGAGUAUGGCAGAGGGGGGUAGAAUUCCACGUGUAGCAGUGAAAUGCGUAGAGAUGUGGAGGAAUACCGAUGGCGAAGGCAGCCCCCUGGGCCAAUACUGACGCUCAUGCACGAAAGCGUGGGGAGCAAACAGGAUUAGAUACCCUGGUAGUCCACGCCCUAAACGAUGUCAACUAGUUGUUGGGGAUUCAUUUCCUUAGUAACGUAGCUAACGCGUGAAGUUGACCGCCUGGGGGAGUACGGUCGCAAGAUUAAAACUU